CAGUCGCCGCGGUAAUACGAAGGGGGCUAGCGUUGCUCGGAUUUACUGGGCGUAAAGGGUGCGUAGGCGGAUCGUUUAGUUGGGGGUGAAAGCCCGGGGCUCAACCUCGGAAUUGCCUUCAAUACUGGCGGUCUUGAGUAUGGAAGAGGUAAGUGGAACUCCGAGUGUAGAGGUGAAAUUCGUAGAUAUUCGGAAGAACACCGGUGGCGAAGGCGACUUACUGGUCCAUUACUGACGCUGAGGCACGAAAGCGUGGGGAGCAAACAGGAUUAGAGACCCCUGUAGUCCCUGUCUCUUAUAC
rnacentral:rRNA from 1 species